rnacentral:rRNA from 1 species
GUGGAUUAGUGGCGAACGGGUGAGUAACACGUGGGCAAUCUGCCCUUCACUCUGGGACAAGCCCUGGAAACGGGGUCUAAUACCGGAUAACACUCCUGCCUGCAUGGGUGGGGGUUAAAAGCUCCGGCGGUGAAGGAUGAGCCCGCGGCCUAUCAGCUUGUUGGUGAGGUAGUGGCUCACCAAGGCGACGACGGGUAGCCGGCCUGAGAGGGCGACCGGCCACACUGGGACUGAGACACGGCCCAGACUCCUACGGGAGGCAGCAGUGGGGAAUAUUGCACAAUGGGCGAAAGCCUGAUGCAGCGACGCCGCGUGAGGGAUGACGGCCUUCGGGUUGUAAACCUCUUUCAGCAGGGAAGAAGCGAAAGUGACGGUACCUGCAGAAGAAGCGCCGGCUAACUACGUGCCAGCAGCCGCGGUAAUACGUAGGGCGCAAGCGUUGUCCGGAAUUAUUGGGCGUAAAGAGCUCGUAGGCGGCUUGUCACGUCGGUUGUGAAAGCCCGGGGCUUAACCCCGGGUCUGCAGUCGAUACGGGCAGGCUAGAGUGUGGUAGGGGAGAUCGGAAUUCCUGGUGUAGCGGUGAAAUGCGCAGAUAUCAGGAGGAACACCGGUGGCGAAGGCGGAUCUCUGGGCCAUUACUGACGCUGAGGAGCGAAAGCGUGGGGAGCGAACAGGAUUAGAUACCCUGGUAGUCCACGCCGUAAACGGUGGGAACUAGGUGUUGGCGACAUUCCACGUCGUCGGUGCCGCA